rnacentral:rRNA from 1 species
GAUGAACGCUAGCGACAGGCUUAACACAUGCAAGUCGAGGGGCAGCGGGGGUAGCGAUACCCGCCGGCGACCGGCGCACGGGUGAGUAACGCGUAUGCAACUUGCCUAUCAGAGGGGGAUAACCCGGCGAAAGUCGGACUAAUACCGCAUGAAGCAGGGGCCCCGCAUGGGGAUAUUUGCUAAAGAUUCAUCGCUGAUAGAUAGGCAUGCGUUCCAUUAGGCAGUUGGCGGGGUAACGGCCCACCAAACCGACGAUGGAUAGGGGUUCUGAGAGGAAGGUCCCCCACAUUGGUACUGAGACACGGACCAAACUCCUACGGGAGGCAGCAGUGAGGAAUAUUGGUCAAUGGCCGAGAGGCUGAACCAGCCAAGUCGCGUGAGGGAUGAAGGUUCUAUGGAUCGUAAACCUCUUUUAUAAGGGAAUAAAGUGCGGGACGUGUCCCGUUUUGUAUGUACCUUAUGAAUAAGGAUCGGCUAACUCCGUGCCAGCAGCCGCGGUAAUACGGAGGAUCCGAGCGUUAUCCGGAUUUAUUGGGUUUAAAGGGUGCGUAGGCGGCCUUUUAAGUCAGCGGUGAAAGUCUGUGGCUCAACCAUAGAAUUGCCGUUGAAACUGGGGGGCUUGAGUAUGUUUGAGGCAGGCGGAAUGCGUGGUGUAGCGGUGAAAUGCAUAGAUAUCACGCAGAACCCCGAUUGCGAAGGCAGCCUGCCAAGCCAUUACUGACGCUGAUGCACGAAAGCGUGGGGAUCAAACAGGAUUAGAUACCCUGGUAGUCCACGCAGUAAACGAUGAUCACUAGCUGUUUGCGAUACACUGUAAGCGGCACAGCGAAAGCGUUAAGUGAUCCACCUGGGGAGUACGCCGGCAACGGUGAAACUCAAAGGAAUUGACGGGGGCCCGCACAAGCGGAGGAACAUGUGGUUUAAUUCGAUGAUACGCGAGGAACCUUACCCGGGUUUGAACGCAUUCGGACCGAGGUGGAAACACCUUUUCUAGCAAUAGCCGUUUGCGAGGUGCUGCAUGGUUGUCGUCAGCUCGUGCCGUGAGGUGUCGGCUUAAGUGCCAUAACGAGCGCAACCCUUGCCACUAGUUACUAACAGGUAAAGCUGAGGACUCUGGUGGGACUGCCAGCGUAAGCUGCGAGGAAGGCGGGGAUGACGUCAAAUCAGCACGGCCCUUACAUCCGGGGCGACACACGUGUUACAAUGGCGUGGACAAAGGGAGGCCACCUGGCGACAGGGAGCGAAUCCCCAAACCACGUCUCAGUUCGGAUCGGAGUCUGCAACCCGACUCCGUGAAGCUGGAUUCGCUAGUAAUCGCGCAUCAGCCAUGGCGCGGUGAAUACGUUCCCGGGCCUUGUACACACCGCCCGUCAAGCCAUGGGAGCCGGGGGUACAUGAAGUCCGUAACCGAAAGGAUCGGCCUAGGGU